AUCGAACGCUGGCGGCAGGCCUAACACAUGCAAGUCGAGCGGAUGAAGGGAGCUUGCUCCUGGCUUCAGCGGCGGUCGGGUGAGUAAUGCCUAGGAAUCUGCCUGGUAGUGGGGGAUAACGUCCGGAAACGGGCGCUAAUACCGCAUACGUCCUGAGGGAGAAUGUGGGGGAUCUUCGGACCUCACGCUAUCAGAUGAGCCUAGGUCGGAUUAGAUAGUUGGUGGGGUCAAGGCCUACCAAGGCGACGAUCCGUAACUCGCCCGAGAGGAUGAUCAGUCACACUGUAACUGAGACACGGUCCAGACUCCUACGGGAGGCAGCAGUGGGGAAUAUUGCACGAUGGGCGAGAGCCUGAUCCAGCCAUGCCGCGUGUGUGAAGAAGGUCUUCGGAUGGUAGAGCACUUUAAGUUGGGAGGAAGGGAAGUAAGUUAAUACCUGGCUGUUUUGACGGUACCAACAGAAUAAGCACCGGCUAACUUCGUG
rnacentral:rRNA from 1 species